rnacentral:lncRNA from 1 species
GAUUGCAUAUUUUGGCUUUAAUAUUGAUUGACUUAUAGGGUCUUUGCAUCGGAACUAAACACAUUUAUUUUUUUUAAAAACAGUUAUUGGCAUGACACGGGUUAUGUUCUUAUGUUAUAUUUUAUGAUAGUAUGAUACUAAACCAAUAACGGGAGGGAUUAAUCUUUCAAUCAGUUUAAUUGAGGUCUAGAGCUGGCAUGUCAGUUAACUGCUAGUAGUCUGUUGUUAUUUAUGUAUUAUUGUCAUUUUAUUUAUUUUAUUUUGUUACAUCUUUUGACAUCGGACUCGGACUUCUCUUGAACGUAAUUUUAAUGUGCGUAUUGUUAUGCGUUUACUUUUCUACAUUGGCUAGAGGUAUAGGGGGAGGGUUGAGAUCUCAUAAACAUGUUUAACCCCGCCGCAAUUUUUGCGCCUGUCCCAAGUCAGGAGCCUCUGGCCUUUGUUAGUCUUGUAUGAUUUUUAAUUUUAGUUUCUUGUGUAUAAUUCGGAGUUAAGUAUGACGUCCAUUAUCACUGUACAAGUAUACAUAUUUUUA